CCCUUAGAUGGUCUGGGCGGCACGCGCGCUACACUGAUGCAUUCAACGAGCUUAUAACCUUGGCCGAGAGGCCUGGGCAAUCUUGUUAACGUGCAUCGUGAUAGGGAUAGAUUAUUGAAAUUAUUAAUCUUGAACGAGGAAUUCCUAGUAAACGCAGAUCAUCAAUCUGCAUUGAUUACGUCCCUGCCCUUUGUACACACCGCCCGUCGCACCUACCGAUUGGAUGGUCCGGUGAAGUGUUCGGAUCGCGGCGACGCGAGCGGUCCGCCGCCCGCGACGUCGCGAGAAGUCCACUGAACCUUAUCAUUUAGAGGAAGGAGAAGUCGUAACA
rnacentral:rRNA from 1 species